rnacentral:tRNA from 1 species
CUAUAGCUCAGCUGGGAGAGCGCUUGCAUGGCAUGCAAGAGGUCAGCGGUUCGAUCCCGCUUAGNN